GCAUAGCUCAGCCGGUAGAGCAGCUUGCCUCUAAUCAGCAGGUUCGACUUCGAUUCUCGCCAGGACCA